rnacentral:tRNA from 1 species
GUCAACAUGGUGUAGUCGGUUAUCACAUCUGUCUCACACACAGAAGGUCCGCAGUUCGAAUCUGCGUGUUGACA